GACUGGUCUGAGUGCAAUGGUGUUUACAACUAACCGAUCACAACCAGUUGCAGAUUUAUUUGUUUUUUUCCACACCCACUGCUUCAGUUAACUAGCCUUUA
rnacentral:Y_RNA from 1 species